GAUGAACGCUAGCGGGAGGCUUAACACAUGCAAGUCGAGGGGCAUCACGAGGUAGCAAUACUUUGGUGGCGACCGGCGCACGGGUGAGUAACGCGUAUGCAACCUACCCUGCACAGGGGGAUAGCCCGGAGAAAUUCGGAUUAAUACCCCAUAAAGAUAUCGAGAGGCAUCUUUUGAUAUUUAAAGUUUCGACGGUACGGGAUGGGCAUGCGUAACAUUAGCUAGUUGGUAGGGUAACGGCCUACCAAGGCAACGAUGUUUAGGGGUCCUGAGAGGGUGAUCCCCCACACUGGUACUGAGACACGGACCAGACUCCUACGGGAGGCAGCAGUGAGGAAUAUUGGUCAAUGGGCGUAAGCCUGAACCAGCCAUCCCGCGUGAAGGAAGACGGCGCUAUGCGUUGUAAACUUCUUUUCCAGAGGAAUAAAAUUUUGUACGAGUACGGAACUGAAG
rnacentral:rRNA from 1 species